AUAAUACUCCUUCCGUUCCGAAUUACUUGUCUUAGAUUUGUCUAGAUACAGAAAUAUUUAGCAUUAAAAUAAGUCUAGAUAUAUCCGUAUCUAGACAAAUCCAAGAUAAAUAAUUCGAAACGAAGGAAGUACUUC
rfam:Triticum aestivum genome assembly, contig: Triticum_aestivum_CS42_TGACv1_scaffold_000886_1AL